rnacentral:rRNA from 1 species
AGAACGAACGCUGGCGGCAUGCCUAACACAUGCAAGUCGAACGCUUGCCGGGCUUCGGUUCGGCAGGAGUGGCGCACGGGUGAGUAGCGCGUGGGAACCUGCCCUGUUGUGGGGGAUAACCGAGGGAAACUUCGGCUAAUACCGCAUACGCCGGGAAACCGGGAAAGAUUUAUCGCAGCAGGAGGGGCCCGCGUCGGAUUAGCUAGUUGGUGGGGUAACGGCCCACCAAGGCACCGAUCCGUAGCUGGUCUGAGAGGAUGAUCAGCCACACUGGGACUGAGACACGGCCCAGACUCCUACGGGAGGCAGCAGUGGGGAAUAUUGGACAAUGGGCGCAAGCCUGAUCCAGCAAUGCCGCGUGAGUGAUGAAGGCCUUAGGGUUGUAAAGCUCUUUCGCCCGCGACGAUGAUGACGGUAGCGGGAGAAGAAGCCCCGGCUAACUUCGUGCCAGCAGCCG